ACGGACAGGAAGCAGUUAUUUUAAUACUCCUGAUGACCUACUUCUGUGGAGAUGCUAAAGUACGAGCGUCUCUCGGCUUGUAUGCUGGUUGUGACUUGGCUCAGGUGUCCGGAGCGGACGUACUGCCUGAUUUCUUUAGCUCACACUCUAUUAACACAGACAGCUUGACAGAGCGAGGCAGGAAGCAGGCAGAUAGGGCCGCCCCCUUCGGGCUGAGGUGGCCGCCCGGGGUCGCAGGGCUUUCAGCAGGCUCCCAUAACAGGAGGCUUUAAUGCCGCUGCUAUUUCCAUCCCUGUGAUGUCAUCUGGAGGAGGGGCCGGUCCUCCAGCCCAGAGUGGUGAGUCACAACCGGAGAGCCGCUCAGGGAGGGAGCGCAUCCAAACAUCCACCGCGCUGAGCCACCAGAGGGAUGGAGAAAAGGGAAAACAACCUCAAGUGACCAAAAUAACCAUUUAACUGGCCUUAUGUUUGCUCUGUGACAUCCACAUCUUUCAUUUUUAACGCCUGAGAAUUAAAGUGUUUGUAAGCA